UUGAAGAGUUUGAUCAUGGCUCAGAUUGAACGCUGGCGGCAGGCCUAACACAUGCAAGUCGAACGGUAACAGGAAGCAGCUUGCUGCUUUGCUGACGAGUGGCGGACGGGUGAGUAAUGUCUGGGAAACUGCCUGAUGGAGGGGGAUAACUACUGGAAACGGUAGCUAAUACCGCAUAACGUCGCAAGACCAAAGAGGGGGACCUUCGGGCCUCUUGCCAUCGGAUGUGCCCAGAUGGGAUUAGCUUGUUGGUGGGGUAACGGCUCACCAAGGCGACGAUCCCUAGCUGGUCUGAGAGGAUGACCAGCCACACUGGAACUGAGACACGGCCCAGACUCCUACGGGAGGCAGCAGUGGGGAAUAUUGCACAAUGGGCGCAAGCCUGAUGCAGCCAUGCCGCGUGUAUGAAGAAGGCCUUCGGGUUGUAAAGUACUUUCAGCGGGGAGGAAGGGAGUAAAGUUAAUACCUUUACUCAUUGACGUUACCCGCAGAAGAAGCACCGGCUAACUCCGUGCCAGCAGCCGCGGUAAUACGGAGGGUGCAAGCGUUAAUCGGAAUUACUGGGCGUAAAGCGCACGCAGGCGGUUUGUUAAGUCAGAUGUGAAAUCCCCGGGCUCAACCUGGGAACUGCAUCUGAUACUGGCAAGCUUGAGUCUCGUAGAGGGGGGUAGAAUUCCAGGUGUAGCGGUGAAAUGCGUAGAGAUCUGGAGGAAUACCGGUGGCGAAGGCGGCCCCCUGGACGAAGACUGACGCUCAGGUGCGAAAGCGUGGGGAGCAAACAGGAUUAGAUACCCUGGUAGUCCACGCCGUAAACGAUGUCGACUUGGAGGUUGUGCCCUUGAGGCGUGGCUUCCGGAGCUAACGCGUUAAGUCGACCGCCUGGGGAGUACGGCCGCAAGGUUAAAACUCAAAUGAAUUGACGGGGGCCCGCACAAGCGGUGGAGCAUGUGGUUUAAUUCGAUGCAACGCGAAGAACCUUACCUGGUCUUGACAUCCACGGAAGUUUUCAGAGAUGAGAAUGUGCCUUCGGGAACCGUGAGACAGGUGCUGCAUGGCUGUCGUCAGCUCGUGUUGUGAAAUGUUGGGUUAAGUCCCGCAACGAGCGCAACCCUUAUCCUUUGUUGCCAGCGGUCCGGCCGGGAACUCAAAGGAGACUGCCAGUGAUAAACUGGAGGAAGGUGGGGAUGACGUCAAGUCAUCAUGGCCCUUACGACCAGGGCUACACACGUGCUACAAUGGCGCAUACAAAGAGAAGCGACCUCGCGAGAGCAAGCGGACCUCAUAAAGUGCGUCGUAGUCCGGAUUGGAGUCUGCAACUCGACUCCAUGAAGUCGGAAUCGCUAGUAAUCGUGGAUCAGAAUGCCACGGUGAAUACGUUCCCGGGCCUUGUACACACCGCCCGUCACACCAUGGGAGUGGGUUGCAAAAGAAGUAGGUAGCUUAACCUUCGGGAGGGCGCUUACCACUUUGUGAUUCAUGACUGGGGUGAAGUCGUAACAAGGUAACCGUAGGGGAACCUGCGGUUGGAUCACCUCCUU
rnacentral:rRNA from 1 species